rnacentral:misc_RNA from 1 species
GAAAUGCGAUAAGUAGUGUGAAUUGCAGAAUUCAGUGAAUCAUCGAAUCUUUGAACGCACAUUGCGCCCCUUGGUAUUCCAUGGGGCAUGCCUGUUCGAGCGUCAUUUGUACCCUCAAGCUCUGCUUGGUGUUGGGUGUUUGUCCCGUCUCCGCGCGUGGACUCGCCCCAAAGUGAUUGGCAGCCGGCGUACUGGUCCCGGAGCGCAGCACAUGUCGCGCAAACGAGAGCCUUGGUACGGCGGCGUCCAUAAGCCCCUCUCUCACGCUCUUGACCUCGGAUCAGGUAGGGAUACCCGCUGAACUUAAGC